GUUUAGAAAUUAUGUAGAUUCAACAAUGAACCUGUUAUUUUAAGUGUUGGGACAGCAAAAGCUAAACAAAGAGAUCAACUUGAAUCGGAAAAAGCAACCUGAAGUUGAAGAUCACAAGCUUGAAGAAUCUAAACUUGAGGAAUUUAAAACUUUGGUUGUAUUGCCUUUUGCUAUGAUUGAUGAUGAUAAGCUUGAAUUGGAAUUUCUUUAUCAAUGUAUCAUAGAAGAUGAAGUUGAAACUCA
rnacentral:misc_RNA from 1 species